UACGUAGGUGGCGAGCGUUAUUCGGAUUUACUGGGCGUAAAGGGUCCGCAGGGGGCUUGCCAAGUCCGGUGUGAAAUCCCGCAGCUCAACUGCGGAACUGCACUGGAUACUGGUGAGCUAGAGUCUGCGAGGGGUGAGCGGAAUUCCUGGUGUAGCGGUGGAAUGCGUAGAUAUCAGGAAGAACACCGAUGGCGAAGGCGGCUCACUGGCGCAGUACUGACCCUCAUGGACGAAAGCGUGGGUAGCGAACAGG
rnacentral:rRNA from 1 species